CUUAAUCUCUUAAUGUCAAUAUAUGGCUAAAAUUGCUUAUCUGAAUAGAUUUUCAGAGUUUAACUGCCGAGUCUGAUUCAAUAUUAAGCAAUCUAACAGGAAUGAAUGUUUUAGCACAUAAAGGUUUUUUUUUUUUGUACUCUAUAUUUUGUUAUUAUUAGCUCACAAACUGAGGUUCUAAUUGUAAAAUUUAGAGAUUGAGGGUUUGGCAAAUGGAAUUCUACUAAUCAUACUUUUUCUUGCUUGUAUUUCCUUGAUUAAUAGGUGAGUCAGGCUCAGAUCUGGAAUACUUCAGCAGGAAUUUAGGGGUGUCACACUUUCUGAGAGAAACAGGAAAUCAUCUCCAUUUCCCAUCCUGUUUUGGCAAACAGACAAAGUAUCAAUGCCCUAGCAGUGACUGACCAACUGCUGCCUUCGCAGCAAUCCAGAUGGAGAUGACCAGUCAAAUGACAGACUUGUUACUUUCAGCAAGUAAGCCUGUUAUUUCACAC
ensembl:lncRNA